UACGAAGGGGGCUAGCGUUGCUCGGAAUCACUGGGCGUAAAGGGUGCGUAGGCGGGUCUUUAAGUCAGGGGUGAAAUCCUGGAGCUCAACUCCAGAACUGCCUUUGAUACUGAAGAUCUUGAGUCCGGAAGAGGAGAAUGGAAUUCCUGGUGUAGCGGUGAAAUGCGCAGAUAUCAGGAAGAACACCCGUGGCGAAGGCGGCUCUCUGGGACGGUACUGAUGCUGAGACGCGAAAGCGUGGGGAGCGAACAGG
rnacentral:rRNA from 1 species